rnacentral:rRNA from 1 species
GCCAACGCAGUUCCAGGAGCGGCGGUUAUUCGUAGUGUUGGAGCGUUGGCCGGAAGUACGGGGCGGAAAGAUGUCGGAGGUGGUUUGGCGCGUUGUUCGGGAAAACGCACAGCUGAGCUGUGGGCGGGCGGGCGAUACGGGCAGACUAGAGUACUGCAGGGGAGACUGGAAUGCCUGGGGGAGCGGUGGAAUGCGCAGAUAUCAGGAGGAACACCGGUGGCGAAGGCGGGUCUCUGGGCAGUAACUGACGCUGAGGAGCGAAAGCGUGGGGAGCGAACAGGAUUAGAUACCCCAGUAGUC